AUUUCACUACACACACACACGUUCGCUAGCCAUUCCAAUUGAAAUACCCAGCAUAGUGGGAGAAACAUGUCUUAUGAGACUUAUCAUAGGCGCCGCAUUGAUAACAAGUUUUCUACACCAACACAUACGCACACUAGCGCAGUCGGGGGCACACGCACGGCAUACACACUCACACGCGCACGCACACAGGCACAGCACUUUUUCUCUUUCGCAUAACUGGCAUAUUUUGUGUGCCUAGGUGUGUCGCUGUCGCAUUUUGCAAUCACAAAUGCCCGAAACAGGGUUAAACGAGCAGCAGUGGGACGGCGUUCGUGUGAAAAAAAGAGGCUGCGAGAAAAUCGCCCCGUACUCCUCGUUACGCCGAAAAACGUACCCCGAUAGAUCGCACGGCGGCUGGGCAGCAGCAGCAACAACAACUCUGGCCGCUUUUUGCCCUUCGCAUAGGUGUCGCGGCUGCUUUUAAUUAAAUAAACCGAAUUCCAAAUGGAUUUUUUAACGAUGAGAAACUGGUCAGUGUUACCAGAUGGCAAAACGGCCAAAAUCCGUAAACCAACCCUGGUUCUCCACUACAAAAUGUACUACAUUUAAUGAAUAAUUUCAUGGGUUCUAUUUAGUUCAAUAAACAAAGAAGUAAAAUGUA